rnacentral:rRNA from 1 species
UACGUAGGGUGCAAGCGUUGUCCGGAUUUAUUGGGUUUAAAGGGUGCGCAGGUGGGUAUUUAAGUCUGGUUUGAAAGCAGGUGGCUCAACCAUCUGAUGUGGCUGGAAACUGGAUAUCUUGAAUGGGUUGGCGGUAGCCGGAAUGGGUCAUGUAGCGGUGAAAUGCAUAGAUAUGACCCGGAACACCGAUUGCGAAGGCAGGCUACUACGACUUGAUUGACACUGAGGCACGAGAGCAUGGGUAGCGAACAGG